GGGUGCGGGGGUGGGCGG
rnacentral:miRNA from 1 species